rnacentral:rRNA from 1 species
UACAGAGGUCUCGAGCGUUAGGCGGAAUCACUGGGCUUAAAGAGCGUGUAGGCGGCUGGGUAGGUCCGUUGUGAAAACUCGAGGCUCAACCUCGAGACGCCGAUGGAAACCCUCCAGCUAGAGUCCGGAAGAGGAGAGUGGAAUUCCUGGUGCAGCGGUGAAAUGCGCAGAUAUCAGGAAGAACACCCGUGGCUAAGGCGGCUCUCUAGUACGGUACUGACGCUGAGACGCGAAAGCGUGGGGAGCGAACAGG